rnacentral:lncRNA from 1 species
GAAAAGCAGUCUUGAUCUCUUUCCUGGGCCCCAGGAUCUUUUCUAGUGGGCCCAAAGCCCAGGGAUAAGUUGGGUUGUAAUAUAUCAGGUGGGCGUGGUAUACUCAGUGUGAGUUUUGUACUCGAUGGGGCAGUUUAUCCUGUUCUUAAAACUCUGGUUGGUUUCUCUUUGACCAUUAUGCAUGGAGAGGUUAUGCAAGAUGACACACGUUAAGAGGCAGCUCCUGGAAAUCUACCAGGAAUGUUGAUGGAGCAAGCUGGACAUACAAGGCUAACAGCAGCCCAGGAUGACAGAAGCCUGGCUCAGACCUGUCUCUGUGCUCCGCCUAUGUGGCAGUCCAUAGCCACCUCAUUGCUCAAAAGGAGACCUUCUUCUCAGAAUUAUUGAUCAUCCCUGAAUUCAAAUUUUAUGAGAAGGAAUUAUUUCAGUGGGAACGAAAAAUAUAACCUGAAGAAAGAAUGCUGGUUGAAACAUGAAAUGUCAAAAGCUCUCUUACUAUAUCCCAAAGUCCCCGCCCCGCCACAGGAAGAAGCCAGUGACCUUCAGGCCACACAAACCUGAAUCAGCCACCAGC